rnacentral:rRNA from 1 species
GGGAGGGGGGGCAAGCGUUGUUCGGAAUUACUGGGCGUAAAGGGCGCGUAGGGCGGUAUGCCAUGUCAGGGGGUGAAAGGGCCUGGGCUCAACCCAGGAAUUGCCUUUGAAACUGGCAAACUAGAGUCCGAUAGAGGAUGGCGGAAUUCCCAGUGUAGAGGUGAAAUUCGUAGAUAUUGGGAAGAACACCAGUGGCGAAGGCGGCCAUCUGGAUCGGCACUGACGCUGAGGCGCGAAAGCGUGGGGAGCAAACAGGAUUAGAUACCCUGGUAGUCCACGCCGUAAACGAUGUGUGCUAGACGUUGGGGGUCUUAGACCCUGGGUGUCGUAGCUAACGCGUUAAGCACACCGCCUGGGGAGUACGGCCGCAAGGUUA